ensembl:processed_transcript Dancr differentiation antagonizing non-protein coding RNA
GGAUGGCUGUAUUAACGCAGCGCGCAGCGGCUCGGUCUUUCGGUCCCGGCCUUGGUGGCCGAUCCACCCGAGCCGGUCCCCACUGCCCAGCCGUGCUGCUGCCUCGGACACAAGCGCAGGUACGUCCCGGCAUUGAUCGGAGGCAGGCCCUGGCCACGUGGCCGAGAAGACGGAGGUUCCAGGCCUGUCUUUGUUGAGCUGCGCCGGGCCUCCCCAGUCGCCCUUUCCUGUGCCCUUUUAAGGUUGUCGCAGUACUUUAAGAGGCUAACACAGAAGGGUAAAGGAACUCUCCAUAAAACCCAGAGAGGAAAACUACACCUCCUCUUUGGAUCCUGUCUGGAGUCACAAAUGAACCAAAAGCUUCAUUUAAAACUUGAAUGUGCGCAUUUUAGGUUCUGGCGAUUGCUAGGUAGUGAUAUAGGAUUUUAAAGAAAACGUAGCCUACCUGGUUUAAUUUGGUUGGAGGAGAAAGUUCAGAAGACAAGAAUACAUUUGCUUUUCUAGAAGUGAGAUUUUAGGUCAGCUGGAAAGGAUAUAGUUGAGUAUGUUCCACUUAUGUGAAACAUUUUUAUUCUUUCAUAGGUUGAAAACUACAAGAAACCCGUGACUGAAUGGCUCCAAGGUGAAGUACUCUUGCAUGUAGUGACCAGGUUUGCCUGUAUUCCACUUUAGGAUUAGUAUCGAAGCUGAAAUAGGUGAAGUGAGGGCCAUGUGAGUUUCCUUGAAUGGCCUUGUAACUGAUUACCCUGAAGGUAGUUUGCUAAAGAUUUUAAUCAAUGUACUAGGAUCCUGCCCCACCCCUUCUUCAUGUCCCACUGCCCUAGAAUCAGAUCUGCAUGGCUAUGACAUGCUCGCCGUUUUAAAGAUGCAAAGAUUUCAUGCUAGAUCAUUAGAAUGUAUCUGGACUUCGUUAGGACAAGUUCUUUGCUAGUAACCAGUCACGUGCUAGCAAUUGAGGUGUGUUAACCUGUAUAUUGUUGCCUAUGAGUAAUUUUCCAUAAUCUUUAAUAAAGGCUUCCUGUGUCAAUUCU